rnacentral:rRNA from 1 species
UACGGAGGGUGCGAGCGUUAUCCGGAAUUACUGGGCUUAAAGGGUGCGUAGGCGGCCAAGUAAGUCAGGAGUGAAAGUUUGCGGCUCAACCGUAAAAUUGCUUUUGAUACUGCUUAGCUAGAAUUAGGAUGAGGUCAGCGGAAUGUGGCAUGUAGCGGUGAAAUGCAUAGAUAUGCCAUAGAACACCAAUUGCGAAGGCAGCUGGCUAGACCUAUAUUGACGCUGAGGCACGAAAGCGUGGGGAGCGAACAGG